GAAACAGGGCAAGACAUCCCUUCCAGGCAAGAUAUCCUUUACAGAAGAAAAGUUCUGGAGAACUUAAGGCAGCUCUAGAAGGGAAGGGAGCAAGGGUUAAGGCGGCCCUCACAGCACAGCCUGAGAACAAAUUCCAAUGCACUCAUCCAUGAACAGAGGCCACGGCGGUACAGAGCCUCUUCAACGCGCAUGCGCAUGGCACCCCUCCUAGCACCGUCAACACCUGCAGCACAGCAUGCACACGCUGCGGGGCUCCCACACAGACUGACUUGUAGAUGACCCGUCCUGUGAACAGCCCUCAGAAGGUACCCAGUGGCUUGGGCUCCGUGUGCUGAGGACCUAAAUUGGGAAGGUGGCCUGUGGCUGUAGGCCUGUGCAGGCUGCGACGCUCACCUGGUAGUAGGGACACUGACGAUGGCGUGGAGAGUAACUCUCCUCUUAACUUCACAGAGGCUUUUGCUGCUUCCUGUCUUUUUGGUUGAGACAGCCUGCUACCAACUAAUCUCCAAACACAGAGUAGUGCACCCUCCCAGAGAGCACUGAUUCACGACAAAAGUCAAGCCUAGUUAUGGCAAGUAACUGACAAAAAAGAAAACCACUUGGUGCUGAGCACUUGGUCUCCUUAAAACAAGUAACUUGGUACUCAGCACUUGCUCAGUUCCCACAUGCCAGCUGCCAAUUCUGAUAAAAAAGCACCCCUUGUUGGCCUGGGGCAUUCCACAGGUACCAAGAGGGCAGCGGCAUGACCUCACAAUGUUUUUAAAUUCUCCUGACUCACAGGUGCCCAUGCCACUGCUCUGUAUGGGAAAGCGGGAUGGCUGGAGGGCUGUGUGACAUCAGGCAAGUCACUGACCCAUCUCUAUUCCCAAGCUAUCAUCGGCAAAUGAUUGUAGAAGCGACCCCAUCCACCGUCCAUGCUGCUGUGAGGAUGAAACGAGGUAACAGAGGAAAGCGCUUCAGGAAAGCGUAUCUGGACCCAGGUAUUGUUUCUGCACUACUUUCAGCAGGAUGCACUAGUUUGGCUCUGUUUUAUCAUAAGCAGCUGACAUUACCCAGAGGAUCCGUGUUUAUGCCUGCUAAGGAACUCUAUGAAUUGGAGACAGUGUGUGUGUGUGUGUGUGUGUGAGAGAGAGAGAGAGAGAGAGAGACAGACAGACAGACAGAGAGCAUUGUGUGAGGACUUCUCAGGAUGGUGGCAGGUGCCCAUUUUCCUAGGGUUACCAGGAAAGUAAUUUCUCACAACAACCACACGCUGAAAUUCUAAUAAUAUUUUCAUAGCCUCUCCUAAUAUGUAGCUGUAACCUUACUAAAAGAUUUGAUCUAUAUUACACAUAACUACUCACCCAGAAAAAGCCAACUCUAUCCAUUGAAAUGAAGAAAUAACAACAGCGCAAACCAUCCGAACUGACACUAAUCCCCAAAUCUCCUGUCAGUUGGUUUUGGAAUAUGUUUUUGUGCUUCUGCACCUGAUGAAAGAAGCAUCAGGUAUGUGGAAAUUUUUUAAACUUCCAAAGGAAUUAGAAGCUACACUUUGUGGAUUUUAUCCCAUAUUUAUCUUCCCUCCUUUUAGAGUUACUCUAGGCAGAUUAAAGCCUUAACCUGAGAAAAGCUGCAAGAAGGGAAAUUACUUUUAAUUUUUCAGCUUCAAGUUGUAAAAGUGUGAGUCUGCAUGUAGUAAGGUGAGUGGGGAGAGGAUUACUGAGACAAAAAACUGCUGUGACUUUUAAGGUCUCUUCCUUUGAAUUCCCAUUGUGUGUCACAGAGGAAUUAAGAAAAAGUCAAUCACUGGUCUUCUAAAGGAAUGUAUUGCAGAGAAGUGAGAACAAUAAGAACUGUGCGAAGAUUGGGCUGACGGUAAGCACCAGGAAGGCCAGCGGGGGCAACUGAAGACUGACUCCAUCCACCUGCCAUCAGUGCACAAACAGCAGGCAACAGGAUAGACAGACGAUUAAGUUGAGGGAAGGGGAAGAGUGAAUGAGUAAGUGAAAGGCUGGCAGGGUG